rnacentral:rRNA from 1 species
CAGUCGCCGCGGGAAUACAGAGGGUGCAAGCGUUAAUCGGAAUUACUGGGCGUAAAGCGCGCGUAGGUGGUUCGCCAAGUUGGAUGUGAAAUCCCCGGGCUCAACCUGGGAACUGCAUCCAAAACUGGCGAGCUAGAGUAUGGUAGAGGGUGGUGGAAUUUCCUGUGUAGCGGUGAAAUGCGUAGAUAUAGGAAGGAACAUCAGUGGCGAAGGCGACCACCUGGACUGAUACUGACACUGAGGUGCGAAAGCGUGGGGAGCAAACAGGAUUAGAGACCCCUGUAGUCCCUGUCUCUUAUAC